AAGAGGGAGGUCAGCUUUCCCUCAAUGCUUACUUAUUGUUUUCUAUUCUCAUUAGCUUAUCAUUUCAGCCCUGAUUUCACUAGUAGGUUAAGAGAUGAACACGUGUGUGAGUAACAUCCCGUUUAGUAGUCAGCUACUUCAACAGCACAUUCUUGUUCCAGCCAACAUGAACUUGUAUGGGAAAAUAGACUUCUUAAGAGGGAACUAACAUGUCUUUCUGAGUAGAGUGAGAAAAAGGGUACUAUCUGCUGUCUGAAAGCAGUAAACUGGGAACUACAGACUUUGAACUCAGGUCAAGGGAGUGAGGGAUACCCCUCAAAGGAAGCAGAAUGCCAAAGAAUAACCUGGCCUGGCCAUAUUUGCCAUAUUCCAUCUACAGGUGUCUGAUGCUGAGGUAAAUAAAUUAUUAUGAAAUUCCAUCUAACCUCUGACCCGGGACCAUGCGAGUGCUCAAUUAGGAACCAAGAACUGAUGGGAGGGAAAUUGCCCACUUAGACCGCGACGGUUCCCCAUAUCCAAGUACAAACAGUGCCGGCCCUCAGUUGUUUCUUUGUCUUUGGACAAGCUGCCAAGUUUUGUCUCAGGAGGUCUUUAUUUUCUUUCAAGAGACCAAAAAUCAAUCACUUAAUUCUUGGCGAGGUUAAGGUGGAAGAUUAGAACGGAUUAGAGUCGAUUAUAAACACAAUCCCUUCUGCCUUGCUUCCUGGGGACCAACAGAAGCCCGUCAGAUGCCUCAUUAAAACAAUUACUCUCACAAGCCAGUGAUAGGGUAUCUACAUUAUCUAUUGACCAGACCUGAGUCUACACUGAAACCAAGCCAGGGAAAUUAAGAGAACAAAACAGGAAAUAAAAUGCCUAAAGGAUCUCACAGACCUCAGAUUGAAUGCACAUGGCUCACAAGCAAUCUCUCUCUCUCUCUCUCUCUCUCUCUCUCUCUCUCUCUCGUGUGUGUGUGUGUCUGUGUGUGUGUGUGUGUGUGUGUGUGGUUUUACUUUAGAUCAACGCUGGCAAGGACCUUCAACUUCUGGAACUGACAAAUCUAGAUAUUAAUAUUAGACCCACACUUUCUGAGCUAAAAGAACUGAAAACAAUGAUGGUGAUGGUGAGAGGCAAAAGGAAAUUUAACAACAAGUAAAUGAUAGAAAACUACAGGCCAAAGAGACAAUUGAGGCUAGAAAAUACUGCUGGUACCUCUUCCACACCCCAUGAAAAUGCUGGGCCUCCACGUUGUGAUGAAUAGCACAUCCACCCUGUCAGCUCCUGUACCAGAGUAGAUUGUGUAUGAGGCAUUCCUAUAAAAGAAUGGCUAAGUGGUUCUUCAACGUGUGGUUUAAAUGUUUGCCAGGUGCCGAGUGUGAACUGGGGCUUGGCAGCCUAAAGUCCCUACUGUGUGACCUCAGAAUCAUUUCAAACUAUCUCUUUAUCUUUUAUAAAUGUUAUGUGAGCCAAUAACACUGAUAAGUAAUUCUUUUUAACACUGUAAAUCUUAGAAUGCUAAUUCAUUUUUAAAGAAUAUUUCGGAUUGACUGAAGGCACUUCAGGUGAGCAUCUAGAUGUUUCCUGAGCUGCUCUGGCGCCAAAAUGUCGUUCAUGGCUGGGGUUGUUUGGUGGCUGGAUGAGACAGUGGUGAACCACAUCACGUGAGGGAAGUUAUCCAGCGGCCGGUUAAUGCCGUCACAGAGAUCACUGAGCACUGUUUAGAUGCAAAAUCUGCAAGGAUUCAAGUGGUCGCUAAAGAGGGAGGCCUGAAGUUGAUUCGGAUCCAAGACAGUGGCACUGGGAUCAGGAAAGAAGGUCUGGAUAUUGUAUGUGAGAGGUUCCCUACGAGUAAACUGCGGUCCUUUGAGGAUUUAGUCAGUAUUUCCACCUGUACCUUUCAAGGUGGGGCUUUGGCCAGCAUAAGCCACGUGGCUCAGGUUACUAUUCCAGGGAAACAGCUGAUGGAAAAUGUGCAUACAGAGCAAGUUACUCAGAUGGAAAACUGAAAGCUCCUCCUAAACCAUGUGCUGGCAAUCAAGGGACCCAGAUCAUGGCAGAGGACCUUUUUUACAACAUAACCACAAGAAGAAAAUCUUUAAAAAAUCCAAGUGAAGAAUAUGGGAAAAUUUUGGAAGUUGCUGGCAGGUAUUCAAUACACAAUUCAGGCAUCAGUUUCUCAGUUAAAAAACAGAGGUAGUAGCUGAUGUUAGACAGUAGCUAAUGCCUCAACCGUGGACAAUAUUCGCUCCAUCUUUGGAAAUGCUGUUAGUUGAGAACUGAUAGAAAUUGGGUGUGAGGAUAAAACCCUAGCCUUCAAGGUGAAUAGUUAUAUUUCCAAUGCAAACUACUCGGUGAAGAAGUGCAUCUUCUUACUCUUUAUCAACCACCGUCUGGUAGGAUCAACUUCCUUGAGAAAAGCCAUACAAACAGUGUAGGCAGCCUAUUUGCCCAAACACACACACCCAUUCCUAUGCGUCAGUUUAGAAAUCAGUCCCCAGAAUGUGGAUGUUAAUGUGCACCUCACAAAGCACGAAGUUCACUUCCUGCAUGAGGAGAGCAUCCUGGAGUGGGAGCAGCAGCACACUGAGAGCAACUCUUGGGCUCCAAUUCCUCCAGGAUGUCCUUCGCCCAGACUUUGCUACCAGGACUCACUGGCCCCUCUUGGGAGAUGGUUAAAUCCACAAGUCUGACCUCCUCUUCUACUUCUGGAAGUAGUGACAAGGUCUACGCCCACCAGAUGGUUUGUACAGAUUCCUGAGAACAGAAGCUUGAUACAUUUCUGCAGCCUCUGAGCAAACUGCUGUCCAGUCAGCCCCAGGCCAUUGUCCCAGAGGAUAAGAUGGAUAUUUCCAGUGGCAGGGCUAGGCAGCAAGAUGAGAAGAUGCUUGAACUUACAGCCCCUGCUUAAGUGGCUGCCAAAAAUCAGAGCCUGGAGGGGGAUACAAGAAAGGGGACUUCAGAAAUGUCAGAGAAGAGAUGACCCACUUCCAGCCCAGGCAAUCCUGGAAAGAGACAUCGGGAAGAUUCUGAUGUGGAAAUGGUGGAAGAUGAUUCCCGAAAGGACAUGACUGUAGUCUGUACCCCCCAGAGAAAGAUCAUUAACCUCACCAUUGUUUUGAGUCUCCAGGAAGAAAUUAAUCAAAGGGGACAUGAGAUACUCUGGGAAAUGUUGCAUAAGCACUCCUUCGUGGGCUGCCUGAAUCCUCAGUGGGCCUUGGCACAGCAUCAGACCAAGUUAUACCUUCUCAACGCCACCAGCUUAGUGAAGAACUUUUCUACCAGAUACUCAUUUAUGAUUUUGCCAGUUUUGGUGUCCUGAGGUUAUUGGAGCCAGCACCGCUCUUUGACCUCACGAUGCUUGCCUUAGAUAGGCCAGAGAAUGGCUGGACAGAGGAAGAUGGUCCCAGAGAAGGACUUGCUGAAUACAUUGUUGAGUUUCUGAAGAGGAGAGCUGAGAUGCUUGCAGAUAUUUCUCUUUGGAAAUUGAUGAGGAAGGGAACCUGAUUGGAUUACCCCUUCUGAUUGACAACUAUGUGCCCUUUUUGGAGGGACUGCCUAUUUUCAUUCUUCGACUAGCCACUGAGGGGAAUUGGGAUGAAGAAAAGGAAUGUUUUGAAAGCCUCAGUAAAGAAUGCACUAUGUUCUACUCCAUCCAACAGCAGUACAUACCUGAGGAGUUGACCCUCUCAGGCCAGCACAGUGAAGUUCCUGGCUCCAUUCCAAACUCCUCGAAGUGGACUGUAAAACACAUUGCCUAUAAAGCCUUGCGCUCACGCAUUCUGCCUCCCAGACAUUUCACAGAAGAUGGUAAUAUCCUGCAGCUUGCUAACCUGCCUAAUCUAUACAAACUCUUUGAGAGGUGUUCAGUAUGGUCAUUUGUGCACUGUAGGAUGUGUUGUUCAUUCUUUGUAUCCCGAUGUUAUUGGGAGCACUUAAGACUUACACUUGCCUUCUAACUGGUAGCAUUCCUUUAUACAUGGUGGAUUGAUUAUAAAUAAAUAGUCAGAUGUGUCCUAA